AAGUUCAGUUUAGGAUUUAAAAUCCUAAUGCUGACUGAAUGGAAAAAUUCAGUUUAGGGUUUAAAACCCUAAUGCUGACUAAAGGGAAAGUUCAGUUUAGGGUUUAAAACCCUAAUGCUGACUGAAUGGAAAAGUUCAGUUUAGGGUUUAAAACCCUAAUGCUGGUUAAAGGAAAGAGUUCAGUUUAGGGUUUAAAACCCUAAUGCUGACUAAAGGGAAAGUUUAGUUUAGGGUUUUAAAACCCUAAUGAUGACUAAAUGGAAAAAUUCAGUUUAGGGUUUAAAACCCUAAUGCUGACUGAAGGGAAAAGUUCAGUUUAGGAUUUAAAAUCCUAAUGCUGACUGAAGGAAAAGUUCAGUUUAAGGUUUAAAACCCUAAUCCUGACUAAAUGGAAAAGUUUAGUUUAGGGUUUAAAACCCUAAUGCUGACUG
rnacentral:lncRNA from 1 species